ACAAUCUUCCUCCAUCUCUAUAUCUCUCACAUUGUUCACUUGUGUUUGGCAAGAAUGGAGCCGGCCAAAAUGUGUAUGCAUGGCAAUUUCGGCCAGCCAUGCCUCUCCAUUUUUCUUCCUCUACAAGACUUGCCUCCCACCUAACCCAAUCACUAAAUGGGCAGCCACCCACCUUAGCCAAUCAAAAAAAGGAGGCAGCCACCAUCCUCCCUCUAUUUAAAGAGCUUGGCCGGCCACUCCCUCCUCCUUUGCCUCAUUUCUUUUCACUUCCCACUCCUUUCUUCACUCCCACACACUCUCCUCCUCCCCUCCCCACGAAAUAUUGCUCCCCCAAGGCUUCAUGGCCGGCCAUAGCCAUGGAAAGAACUCCAAGAUGAAGCUCCCUCCUCCCUCAAGCUCCUCCUCACCAUGAGAGCCUCCCUCUCCUUCUUCUCCCCAACCCUAGAUGGUUUUCUCUCCUCUUCCUCUUCCUCCAUUGCUAAGAUUGGAUCUUGAUGCAGGUGCAUGUUGGUCCAAGCAUGGAGAAGCUUGAGCUAUCCUCAGAUCUGAAGUUCUUGAGCAAAAUCCAAAUCGAGUGAUUCAAAGUUCCGCAGAUAGAUACGGAAAAGAUCUACAACUUGGCGUUGGUCUCAUCCUCAAAUUCGUUACGGAUUUUGCAUGAUCAAGAUCUGGUCAGAUCUGACUUUGUCGAAUUAAACCAGGAGCUUGGAGACGAAUUUUUGAAUGAAACCAACUGGGGGAUGUUUGGGUUAUACCAUGGUGAUAACCGAGAGAGGCAAUUGCUAAGUUAUGAUACUCUCAUACCUUUACUAGACGCGAGCAAUUCCGGAGAAGAAGAAGAAGUGGAAUUGGACAAGGAUUUUAUUUAUAUUGUUGGGAUUCUUAUAUUGAUAGAGUUGAAGAAGUACAGGGACAAAUAAGCCAAG